AUGCCUCCGCGGCGAGACGGCGCGCCGACGCCGACCUCCUCGCCACCGCCGAGCCCCGGCGGCACGCCCUCCGCUUCCAAGGGCGCGACUCCCCCACCCUCGUCUCCGCACCCCGCCUCCAAGGGCCCGUCCGCUCCGGGUGGCACCGGCACCGACGAUGAGGCCGCUGCUACCCCUCCCUCAUCUCCGCGCUGCGGCGGAAGCCCCCCCGUCGCCUCGAGAUCCCCAGCAUCGUUCUCCUUCCCCGCCUCUCCACGGGUGCACUGCGGCGGCCGCGGAAGCCCCCCCACGGCCUCGCCAUCCCCAACACCAGCUUCCUCUCCAGGGGUUGGCGUCUCCCUUGUAGAGCUGGUGGCGACCGGCGACGGCAAGCCUGCGGCGGGCGCGCACGAGGAGGAAGGGGAGGUGGAGAAGGCGAUGGAAGACCCCGUCAAGACGACCGCGCGCUCUGACCCGGAGAAGCAGCUCUCAUCUGCUCCGGGUGGUACCGGCACUGGCGACGCCACCGCCGCUACUCCACCCUCAUCUCUGCGCUGCUGCGGAAUCCCCUCCGCCGCCUCGACGCCCCCCGCAUCAGCCUCCCGACCUACCUCUCCACGGGUUCACUGCGGCGGAAGCACCCCCAUGACCAUCAGUUCUGACGCCGUCUCUGAGUCGGGAAAACAGAGCCUGCACGAGGUGGACCUUGAUCCGACGGAUAGGAAGCCGAGCCAGCAUAAGCUUGCAGAAGAGGCGGAGGAGGUGGAGCAACGGGAGAAUGUUGCGACGCAGAGAGGAAAACAACUUGAGGAGCGGGAGACACUCUUGAGGCAGACGCAUUACGCUGUUCCGCAAGGUCAUGCAGGAGUGAGCAACUGGGUGGAGAAGGAGGAGGAGGAGGAGAAGAGGAAGAGGAAGGGGAAAGAGAAGGAGGAUGAGGGUGAGGAGAAUGAGCAGGAGCAGGGGAAGGGAGAACAUAAUCAUAGCUGUCCUGGGUCUGGAUUAUUUCCUUGGACUGCAGAGCUACCCAGGGACGAUGCAUUGGCAGCACUGAAGCAACAACUGCUUAUGCCCCAACAGUCAAAAUUAAUGCCCACUCCGUCGGAUACGCCCAAUGCAGCAACAGCUGAGAUUACGGCAAUGACCAUGAGGACUUCCACACCCAAGGCCAAGGUAUACCAGUUUGAGACUCGUUUUAUGGCUCCCAGCCUUGAUCAGAGUACUUCUGAAAUCAACGAUCUUGAGAUGGUGAAAGUUGGCCUCCUUGUUCUUACAAGAUUGAGCGAGAACUUGCACGAGAGGAGGUUAUAUUCAACCAUUCAUGAAGUACUGAAAGCUGCAGUUGCUACAUACAAUACCAAUCAGCUUAUGACAGAGCGAGAUCGUGUGAGGUGGGAGAUCAGAAAGAUACUGACAGAUCAGACACAGAACCUUGGAAUUGCCAUUGAUGACGUCUCCAUUGUAAGCCUGAGCUUUGAAAAGGUGUUUACUCAGGACAUUCAAGAGAAAGAGGUGACUACACAAGAAGACAGGCAAGGUAACAGGACUACACAAGAAGCUGGGCAAGAUAACAGGAGUGCAAUGAUCAGGUCACAGGACGACGACCAGAUCUGGAACAAGAGGCAGAUUGGUUAUAUUUUUGAUCUAGGUACUGCGCUGGGCAUUAUAUUUUUGAUUCGACCCUGGUUGCCUAGUAGCUAUGACCGAUGGAUAAUGGCUGCAUUUGCUGCCGUUUGGGGGGCGGGCAGUGUGGGCUUGCCCAUUGGAAUGUUUGGCACCUCCAGGGUUGAAAAAAAUUGCAGUCGGCAUGUAGGGCGAUUCAUCUCUCUUUCCUUCUCACUGCUUGUCAUCCAUGCAAUCUACAUCCUGACACUAAAUGUCGCCGGCACUCCACCAACCCCAUCUGUGUCGUCAUUUGGAAUCACCAACGGUGAUGGUGAUGGUGAUGCUGACUGGUGGACAACUGCUGGCUUCAUUGUGAUUGCGGCUCUAGUGUCAUUUGGGCACCUAUGGUCCUGGAUAAGAGGGUGUUGUACAGGUGGUGACAGGGACAUGUUGCCUUGA
rnacentral:rRNA from 1 species